UACGUAGGGCGCAAGCGUUGUCCGGAAUUAUUGGGCGUAAAGAGCUCGUAGGUGGCUGGUCGCGUCUGCCGUGAAAACCUGCAGCUUAACUGUGGGCGUGCGGUCGAUACGGGCAUCACUGGAGUUCGGCAGGGGAGACUGGAAUUCCUGGUGUAGCGGUGAAAUGCGCAGAUAUCAGGAGGAACACCGGUGGCGAAGGCGGGUCUCUGGGCCGAUACUGACGCUGAGGAGCGAAAGCGUGGGGAGCAAACAGG
rnacentral:rRNA from 1 species